GAGACCUCAGGUCAGGCGGGACUACCCG
rnacentral:rRNA from 1 species